ensembl:lncRNA
AGACCAGUACCCCAACAGGCAUACAUGACAGGGACACCUGCCAUCUGGAUGCCGUGGCCCAGAGAGGACAAAUCCCCAGUCCCCCAAAUGUAUUCUACUAUCACAGUCUCCCCCUCUUUUGUCGAAACUAAUGAGUCACGAUUCGAGUAAUGUUUUUCUGUGGCUCCAAAACCAUUUUGCUUAAUGAGAUGGAAAAGCUGGAGAAUUCACCUAAAGCUGGAUCAAGUAAAUGGAACAUCUAGACGUAGGGUUCUCAGAUGACGCCAGUGGUACAGGACUGACUGAGGAACACCCUUUGAGAACCCCUGCUCUGGGUCUUUGCCAUCUUCUGGAGAACUGAGAGCACAGUCAUUCAAAUCAUUUCCUGUGUUGGGAAGUUAAAAGAGGGACCUGGUUGAUGAAAGCUGUUAUGGUCUAGGGGUCAGAAAACUAUGGGCCAGAGACCAAAUCCGCCUACCAUGUGCUUUUG